rnacentral:rRNA from 1 species
GACGAACGCUGGCGGCGUGCUUAACACAUGCAAGUCGAACGAGUUGCGAACGGGUGAGUAACGCGUAGGUAACUACCUAUUAGAGGGGGAUAACUAUUGGAAACGAUAGCUAAUACCGCAUACUAGUAGAUGGACCUGCGUUGUAUUAGCUAGUAGGUAGGGUAAAGGCCUACCUGGGCAACGAUACAUAGCCGACCUGAGAGGGUGAUCGGCCCAACUGGGACUGAGACACGGCCCAGACUCCUACUGGAGGCAGCAGUAGGGAAUCUUCGGCAAUGGGGGGAACCCUGACCGAGCAACGCCGCGGGAGUGAAGAAGGUUUUCGGAUCGUAAAGCUCUGUUGUUAAGGAAGCGGUACUUAACCAGAAAGGGACGGCUAACUACGUGCCAGCAGCCGCGGUAAUUC